GUGCCAGCAGCCGCGGUAAUACGUAGGGUGCAAGCGUUAAUCGGAAUUACUGGGCGUAAAGCGUGCGCAGGCGGUGAUGUAAGACAGUUGUGAAAUCCCCGGGCUCAACCUGGGAACUGCAUCUGUGACUGCAUCGCUGGAGUACGGCAGAGGGGGAUGGAAUUCCGCGUGUAGCAGUGAAAUGCGUAGAUAUGCGGAGGACACCGAUGGCGAAGGCAAUCCCCUGGGCCUGUACUGACGCUCAUGCACGAAGGCGUGGGGAGCAAACAGGAUUAG
rnacentral:rRNA from 1 species